GGGAGAGUGAACUGGUGGUGGUGGAGAGUGGACUGGUGGUGGUGGAGAGUGGACUGGUGGUGGUGGAGAAUGGACAGGUGGUGAUGGGGAAUUAACUGGUGGAGGGGGUAGUAAGCGAACAGGUGGUGGUGGGAAGUUGACUGCUGGAGGAGGUGGUGAGUGGACGGGGGGUGGUGGGGAGUUCACCGGUGGAGGUGGUGAGUGGACAGGGGGCGGUGGAGAAUGGACUGGUGGGGGCGGGGAGUGGACUGGUGGAGGAGGAGAAUGUGUUGGUGGUGGAGUCCUUGGUCGUCCUCUGGGUGCUUCUUUGUGAGGAUCAUCCUCCUGAGGUGGUGGUGGUGAUGAUUGAGGUGUUUCUGGUGGGUGUGGUUUAGGUGUUUGUGGUGUGGAUGGUGGCUCUCCUUUAGGUGUUUCUGGUGUGGGAGGUGAUUGUGUUUCUGGUGUGGGUGGAGGUGUUGCCUUCGGCAUUUCCGGUGUAGGUGCUGGUUGUGUUUCAGGUGUUUGUGG
rnacentral:lncRNA from 1 species